GAACCUUACCUGGGCUCGAACGGCUUAAGAUCGACUGUGGAAACACGGUUUUCCCGCAAGGGACUUGAGUCGAGGUGCUGCAUGGCUGUCGUCAGCUCGUGUCGUGAGAUGUUGGGUUAAGUCCCGCAACGAGCGCAACCCUUGUCCUGUGUUGCCACUCCGUAAGGAAGCACUCGCAGGAGACCGCCAGCGAUAAGCUGGAGGAAGGUGGGGAUGAUGUCAAGUCAUCAUGGCCUUUAUGUCCAGGGCUACACACGUGCUACAAUGGACGGUACAAACCGCAGCAAACCCGCGAGGGGGAGCCAAUCGCAAAAAACCGUUCUCAGUUCGGAUCGGAGGCUGCAACUCGCCUCCGUGAAGCUGGAAUCGCUAGUAAUGGCGUAUCAGAACGAUGCCGUGAAUACGUUCCCGGGCCUUGUCACACCGA
rnacentral:rRNA from 1 species